rnacentral:rRNA from 1 species
ACGGAGGAUGCAAGCGUUAUCCGGAUUCAUUGGGUUUAAAGGGUGCGCAGGCGGAUUGGUAAGUCAGGGGUGAAAUCCCACAGCUCAACUGUGGAACUGCCCUUGAUACUGUCAGUCUAGAGUAUAGUUGAAGUUGGCGGAAUGUGUCAUGUAGAGAUGAAAUGCUUAGAUCUGACGCAGAACAACGAUCGCGAAGGGAGCAAGCUAGGCUAGAACUGACUCUCAUGCACGUAAGCGAGGGGAACAAAGAG